UACGGGGGGAGCAAGCGUUGUUCGGAUUUACUGGGCGUAAAGGGCGCGUAGGCGGUCAGCACAAGUCAGUUGUGAAAUCUCCGGGCUUAACCCGGAAAGGUCAGCCGAUACUGCGGGGCUAGAGUGCAGAAGGGGCAACUGGAAUUCUCGGUGUAGCGGUGAAAUGCGUAGAUAUCGAGAGGAACACCUGCGGCGAAGGCGGGUUGCUGGGCUGACACUGACGCUGAUGUGCGAAAGCUAGGGGAGCGAACGGG
rnacentral:rRNA from 1 species